ACCAAGGAAAAGGAGCCGGUAUCAGGCUCAACUUAAGCCCACGACACCUAGCCACGCCACGCCCACAAGGGUAUUCAGCAGUGAUAAACCUUGUUUAUAAGCGCAAGCUUGAACCAGUUAUGGCGAAGAGGGCCGGCAAAUCCGGUGCCAGCCGCCGCGGCUACACCGUUAGGCCCAAGUUGACACACACCGGCGUUAAGCGUGAUUAGAGUGAUUACACUGAUUAGAGUUAAACCCAAACUUAGUCGUGAUACACUUGUUCCCGGGAAACCCAAAAACGAAAGUUACUCUAACCAACCCACUUGACCCCACGACAGCUAGGACACAAACUGGGAUUAGGUACCCCACUAUGCCUAGCCGUAAAAUAUAUACUCACCCCACAAAUCGCCAGGGAAUUACGAGCCCAAGCUUAAAACCCAAAGGACUUGACGGUGUCCCACCCACCUAGAGGAGCCUGUUCUAUAAUCGAUUCCCCCCGAUAAACCUCACCACUUCUAGCCAACUCAGCCUGUAUACCUCCGUCGUAAGCUUACCAUGUGAACGAAACCAGUGAGCUAAAAGAUCCAACAUCAGCACGUCAGGUCAAGGUGCAGCUAACGAACUGGAAAGAAAUGGGCUACAAUUUCUACCAUAGAACAAACGAAAGGCUACAUGAAACAUAGUCACUGAAGGCGGAUUUAGCAGUAAAAAGAAAA
rnacentral:rRNA from 1 species